GAUGAAGAACGUAGUGAAAUGCGAUAAGUAAUGUGAAUUGCAGAAUUCAGUGAAUCAUCGAAUCUUUGAACGCACCUUGCGCUCCUUGGUAUUCCGUGGAGCAUGCCUGUUUGAGUGUCAUUAAAUUCUCAACCUUAUUAGCUUUUGCUGAUAAUGGCUUGGACUUGGGGGUCUUUUUGCUGGCUUUCAUUAGUCUGCUCCCCUUAAAUGUAUUAGCCGGUGCCCCGCAGUGGAACCGUCUAUUGGUGUGAUAAUUAUCUACGCCGUGGACGUCUGCUAUAAUGGGUUUGCGCUGCUUCUAACCGUCUCUCGGGACAACACAAAUGACAAUUUGACCUCAAAUCAGGUAGGACUACCCGCUGAACUUAAGCAUAUCAAUAAGCGGAGGA
rnacentral:misc_RNA from 1 species